GAUUCACCAUUGAAAGUGCUCCUUAGUCCGAGAAUAGGCUUUAAUCUGUGUCCGUGAAAUUGUCCCCUCAUGUCCAUCAGUGAUAACUACUGUUAAUUGAUCGGUUAACUUACUCAUGUCAACACUUGUUGACGCAAUCAGACACUUGUUAAUAAUGCUGACCACAAAGUUGACAAUGUAUUUUAGAAUUUUCAACAGGCUAUUUUAGCCAUUACAGCAAAAGAUUCAUCAUACAACAAUCAAUAAUUAUAAUAAUCUCAAAUUCCAGCCUAAAGAUUUCUGCAUAGCGGAGACGAUUCUGUCUAACAUAAACAAAACGCAGUACGGGACUUCAGACAACAACGUAGAGACAAUCAGCAGAGUGCUGGAGCAGUACAAUAAGCUUCACCCUUCCAACUGCACUAUGAAGAAGAAUGGAGACGAGGAACAGCUCCGUGCUCUCCUGAUGAACCUCUACAACUGUGCCCAAGCCAUCUAUUCCCGUCCCCACUCUGUCACUCAUCACAAAACGACCCCAACACUUUGAGGGGACUGAGGGGAACUCUGUCGACCG